GGUCGAAUCUCAUUGGUGGAUGCUGGGAAGGGUUGAAUCUUAUUGGUGGAUGCUGGGAAGGGUUGAAUCUCAUUGGUGGAUGCUGGGAAGGGUUGAAUCUCAUUGGUGGAUGCUGGGAAGGGUUGAAUCUCAUUGGUGGAUGCUGGGAAGGGUUGAAUCUUAUUGGUGGAUGCUGGGAAAGGUUGAAUCUCAUUGGUGGAUGCUGGGAAGGGUUGAAUCUCAUUGGUGGAUGCUGGGAAAGAUUGAAUCUCAUUGGUGGAUGCUGGGAAGGGUUGAAUCUCAUUGGUGGAUGCUGGGAAGGGUUGAAUCUCAUUGGUGGAUGCUUGGAAGGGUUGAAUCUCAUUGGUGGAUGCUGAGAAAGGUUGAAUAUUCUCUCUCUCUCUCUCUCUCUCUCUCUCUCUCUCUCUCUCUCUCUCUCUCUCUCUCUCUCUCUCUCUCUCUCGUUUCUUCCUUCUUUCUGGUUCAAUAUUCAUAAUUUCUCUCCCUACCUUUUCUCCCUCUCCUCCCUUUCUUUCUCUCCCUUAUUCCCUUCUUUAUUUUCCUCCUCC